GACGAACGCUGGCGGCGUGCUUAACACAUGCAAGUCGAACGGUAAGGCCCUUCGGGGUACACGAGUGGCGAACGGGUGAGUAACACGUGGGUAAUCUGCCCUGCACAUCGGGAUAAGCCUGGGAAACUGGGUCUAAUACCGAAUAGGACCACAGGACACAUGUCCUGUGGUGGAAAGCUUUUGCGGUGUGGGAUGGGCCCGCGGCCUAUCAGCUUGUUGGUGGGGUGAUGGCCUACCAAGGCGACGACGGGUAGCCGGCCUGAGAGGGUGUCCGGCCACACUGGGACUGAGAUACGGCCCAGACUCCUACGGGAGGCAGCAGUGGGGAAUAUUGCACAAUGGGCGAAAGCCUGAUGCAGCGACGCCGCGUGGGGGAUGACGGCCUUCGGGUUGUAAACCUCUUUCACCAUCGACGAAGGUCCGGGUUUUCUCGUGCUGACGGUAGGUGGAGAAGAAGCACCGGCCAACUACGUG
rnacentral:rRNA from 1 species